rnacentral:rRNA from 1 species
UACGUAGGGGGCAAGCGUUGUCCGGAUUUACUGGGCGUAAAGAGCGUGUAGGCGGCCACGCAGGUCCGUUGUGAAAACUGGAGGCUCAACCUCCAGCUGUCGACGGAAACCGUGUGGCUAGAGUCCGGAAGAGGAGAGUGGAAUUCCUGGUGUAGCGGUGAAAUGCGCAGAUAUCAGGAAGAACACCAAUGGCGAAGGCAGCUCUCUGGGACGUGACUGACGCUGAGACGCGAAAGCGUGGGGAGCAAACAGG